UCAUCCCCCACACACCUUCUCCAACCCUAGCUGCCGCCGCCUGGACAACCGCCGUCGACGACCUGCUUCCUCGACCACGACGACCAGGAUUUGGGUCCUCAUUGAGUACUUCGAACCCGAUCUGCUUCGUCGUCGACAAGGAUACGCCACAGCAGCUCUACUUCCCCUUUGACGACCUCGAUGGUGGCAACUAGGGGGCAGCGCAGUAAGCAACCUUCACAGGAAGAAGAAGCACAACCUACAAUAACCGAUUAUGAGAGAAGCCGGGAAAGACGUGUGGCGGCAAAUUUAAAGAAGAUGCAAGAAUUGCGGCUGCACACUCUACGUGCUGAUUUAAAUAAUUCUUUACCACAACCUGAAUCAUCAAAGGGGAAAAAAUCAGCAAACAAGAAAACCAAUAGUUCAGAUUCAGAUUCAUCAGAGUAUCUCCUUGACGAUGAUGAUCAAGGAGAUAGUGAUGAUGAUGACACUGAAACUGAUGAGCAGCCACCACCCCUGGCA